GCGGUGAGGCAGCACAGCGGUGAGGCAGCCCAGCGGUGAGGCAGCCUAGCGGUGAGGUAUCCUACCGGUAAGGUAUCCUAGCGGUGAGGCAGCCUAGAGGUGAGGUAUCCUACCGGUGAGGUAUCCUACCGGUGAGGUAUCCUAGCGGUGA